UACCAGCGUUUGACAUGUCUAGUAUGGUUUCCAGAGAUGGAUUCCUUCAGUUAGGCUGGCUAGAACACAGGUGCUGCAUGGCUGUCGUCAGCUCGUGUCGUGAGAUGUUGGGUUAAGUCCCGCAACGAGCGCAACCCUCGUCUUUAGUUGCCAUCAUUUAGUUGGGCACUCUAAAGAAACCGCCGGUGAUAAGCCGGAGGAAGGUGGGGAUGACGUCGACGUCAUAACC
rnacentral:misc_RNA from 1 species